UCAGACGAUGCGUCAUGCAUAUCAAUAAGCGGAGGAAAAGAAACUAACAAGGAUUCCCCUAGUAACGGCGAGUGAAGCGGGAAGAGCUCAAAUUUGAAAUCUUAAAGGGCUUCCCUUUACGAAUUGUAGUUUAAAGAAGUGUUUUCUGUUGAGGUUUUGGUAAAAGUUCUUUGGAAUAGGACAUCAUAGAGGGUGAGAAUCCCGUAUUUGACCUUUACUUUCAACUUUGUGAUACACUUUCAAAGAGUCGGAUUGUUUGGGAAUGCAGUCCAAAAUGGGUGGUAAAUUUCAUCUAAAGCUAAAUAUAGGCGAGAGACCGAUAGCGAACAAGUACCGUGAGGGAAAGAUGAAAAGAACUUUGAAAAGAGAGUUAAACAGUACGUGAAAUUGUCAAAAGGGAAGCGUUUGACACCAGUGUUGUUUUUCUGAAAAUCAAUUAAAGAACUGUUUAUGCUAAGUUGUUUAGACUUUAUCAGCUAACUGUUUAGUUUUGAGCUUUUCUUUAAUGCACUUUUCAGUUAACAAGUCAACAUCGAUUUCUUUUGCUGUAAAAAAGCUUGAGGAAGGUGGCUUGAGAUUCGUCUUAAGUGUUUAUAGCCUCUUGCCUAUGCAGUCGGAGAGAUUGAGGUCUGCAGCGUAGAUCCUUCGGGGCUAAAUGCAUUUGUGCUAAGUUAUAGCAUUUUAUAGACAACUUGUUGACUAUGAUUUGUCUUGUAGCUUACUCGCUUAUGUUAUUUUACCUACGCUUAGGAUGUUGACACACGCGCGUGCUCG
rnacentral:rRNA from 1 species